UACGGAGGGGGCUAGCGUUGUUCGGAACUACUGGGCGUAAAGCGCACGUAGGCGGCUUUGUAAGUUAGAGGUGAAAGCCCGGGGCUCAACUCCGGAGCUGCCUUUAAGACUGCAUCGCUUGAAUCAUGGAGAGGUUAGUGGAAUUCCGAGUGUAGAGGUGAAAUUCGUAGAUAUUCGGAAGAACACCAGUGGCGAAGGCGACUAACUGGACAUGUAUUGACGCUGAGGUGCGAAAGCGUGGGGAGCAAACAGG
rnacentral:rRNA from 1 species